GGAGAGGUCGCAUAGUGGUCGAGUGCGUACGCUUGGAAAGCGUAUAUACCGUAAGGUAUCGAGGGUUCGAAUCCCUCUCUCUCCG
rnacentral:tRNA from 4 species